GGUUGUGGCUCGAAGGUAGAGUGCUUGCCUAGUAUGUGUGAGGCCCUGGGUUCGAUCCUCAGCACCA
rnacentral:tRNA from 1 species